AAAGAGUAACGGAGGCGCGCGAAGGUUGGCUCAGAGCGGUCGGAAAUCGCUCGUUGAGUGCAAUGGCAGAAGCCAGCCUGACUGCGAGACUGACAAGUCGAGCAGAGUCGAAAGACGGCCAUAGUGAUCCGGUGGUCCCGAGUGGGAGGGCCAUCGCUCAACGGAUAAAAGGUACGCCGGGGAUAACAGGCUGAUACUGCCCAAGAGUCCAUAUCGACGGCAGUGUUUGGCACCUCGAUGUCGGCUCAUCACAUCCUGGGGCUGAAGCCGGUCCCAAGGGUAUGGCUGUUCGCCAUUUAAAGAG
rnacentral:rRNA from 14 species